AACGAACGCUGGCGGCAUGCCUAACACAUGCAAGUCGAACGCCUGUAGCAAUACAGGAGUGGCAGACGGGUGAGUAACACGUGGGAAUCUACCCAGUAGCUCGGAAUAACCGCGGGAAACUGCGGCUAAUACCGGAUACGCCCCGAGGGGGAAAGGAGCAAUCCACUAUUGGAGGAGCCCGCGUCUGAUUAGCUAGUUGGUGAGGUAACGGCUCACCAAGGCGACGAUCAGUAGCUGGUUUGAGAGAACGACCAGCCACACUGGGACUGAGACACGGCCCAGACUCCUACGGGAGGCAGCAGUGGGGAAUAUUGGACAAUGGGGGAAACCCUGAUCCAGCAAUGCCGCGUGGGUGAUGAAGGCCUUCGGGUUGUAAAGCCCUUUUGUCGGGGACGAUGAUGACGGUACCCGACGAAUAAGCUCCGGCUAACUUCGUGCCAGCAGCCGCGGUAA
rnacentral:rRNA from 1 species